AGCUGGUCCCAGUGCAGUGGUGUUUACAACUAAUUGAUCACAACCGGUUACAGAUUUCUUUGUUCCUUCUCCACUCCCACUGCUUCACUUGACUAGCCUUUA
ensembl:misc_RNA Y_RNA Y RNA